GCCUGGGUGGCUCAGUCGGUUGAGCGUCCGACUUCGGCUCAGGUCAUGAUCUCAUGGUUUGUGGGUUCGAGCCCCGUGUUGGGCU
rnacentral:tRNA from 1 species